AAGGUAGUGUAGUUAACACCUGCAUUAUUUGACGUUACCUACAGAAGAAGCACCGGCUAACUCCGUGCCAGCAGCCGCGGUAAUACGGAGGGUGCGAGCGUUAAUCGGAAUUACUGGGCGUAAAGCGCAUGCAGGCGGCCUCGUUAAGUCAGAUGUGAAAGACCCGGGGCGUUAACCUCGGAAUUGCAUUUGAAACUGGCAGGCUAGAGUCUGUAGAGGGGGGUAGGAAUUUCAGGUGUAGCGGUGAAAUGCGUAGAGAUCUGAAGGAAUACCAGUGGCGAAGGCGGCCCCCUCGGACAAAGACUGACGCUCAGAUGCGAAAGCGUGGGGAGCAAACAGGAUUAGAUACCCUGGUAG
rnacentral:rRNA from 1 species